AGGCCCCGUUUCCGCAGGUAGGGCCAGGGGAUUAUCUGCCACUCAUAAUCCCUUGGCCGUGGGUUCGAGCCCCACCCGCCCCA
rnacentral:tRNA from 1 species